GACGAACGCUGGCGGCGUGCUUAACACAUGCAAGUCGAACGGAAAGGCCCUGCUUGCAGGGUACUCGAGUGGCGAACGGGUGAGUAACACGUGGGUGAUCUGCCCUGCACUUCGGGAUAAGCCUGGGAAACUGGGUCUAAUACCGGAUAGGAGCCAUUUUUAGUGUGAUGGUUGGAAAGUUUUUUCGGUGUAGGAUGAGCUCGCGGCCUAUCAGCUUGUUGGUGGGGUAAUGGCCUACCAAGGCGGCGACGGGUAGCCGGCCUGAGAGGGUGGACGGCCACAUUGGGACUGAGAUACGGCCCAGACUACUACGGGAGGCAGCAGUGGGGAAUAUUGCACAAUGGGCGCAAGCCUGAUGCAGCGACGCCGCGUGGGGGAUGACGGCCUUCGGGUUGUAAACUCCUUUCGCUAGGGACGAAGCUUUUUGUGACGGUACCUAGAUAAGAAGCACCGGCUAACUACGUG
rnacentral:rRNA from 1 species